AAUUGACUUUGAUUGAGACCCGAACUCGUAAUCUCACAACUGUCUGAUUAUCACUCUAAUACCAUUCAAUCAAGACAGUAAACGAACUGUCGUACUCUCACAAAAAUAUAAAUACCCACUUGUAGCUCGCCGUUGGAGGGAGGAGAGAGAGAGAGACACAUGGAUUAUAGUCUAGCAGCGCUGAAGCUGCUGUGCGUGCAACUGAAAGACGCCCGCGAAACCCCUUCUCAGAACGCAUUGACUCUCGGCGGCAUUCUCUUCCAACGCGCAUGGUUGCAGGGCAUUUUGGUCUCCAAAGAUGGCGACGGCCGUCUGCUCCUAGAUGAUGGCACCGGUGUCAUCCAGCUUUCUCUUUCCGGCGACUUCCUUCUCCGCCGCUGGGAUAUAGGGAUGUAUGUGAUGGUAAUUGGUGGGUAUUUUGUUGGUACGGGUGAGAGUCCCAUGAUUAAGGUUCAUAAGAUUGUUGAUCUAUCACCAUUUCCAGAUCGAGAAGCCAUGUGGUAUCUUGAAGUAAUGGAGGCAUAUAAAUUGUUCUACCAGCCCUUAAUUGAAGAAUUCAUGUGAGUUUUGUUCAGAUGGUUUUUUAGCAUUGGGAAAACUUAGAUCACCUUGACUGUAGUCCCAGAAUUGCAAAAUUUUUGGGUAUCAACAUGCAUAACUAGCAGGAGUCUCUGUCUGAUUCUUUCUUCCCUCCAUGGGAAGCUUGUCUCUUGUAUAGCUGUCUUGUGAUGUUUAAAAUUGCAACGACAGUAAGUAUAGUGGAUGUACUUAGUUCUGUUUAUCUUAUUUUUUAUUAGAUACCAGAAUUUAGUGGGUUUUAGCUUUGAGGAGCGGGUUAGUGAUAUGAUGCCAAAAGUCUUUACAAUUGAGCAGAUUUGCAUCUUCAACGUUGUUGCAGUGCAAAUCAAACUAUCAAAUCCUGCUCAUCUGAGCUUCCACUUAAAUUAUAUGUGAUAAUUUUUGUAGAGCAGGAAAGUAUCAGGUGAAAAAGACGACAAAUCAGAUGGUUGGAUAUAUUUUAUUAUAGGCUAGAACAGAAGUUCUUUGCAUCCAAAAGAUGGGGUGGAAGGUUUUAUUGGUUCCACAUUUCUAGCUGUUGCUUGAAACAAAAAGCAGAUGACAUGAUUGUAAUCCCGUUUGGCAUUUGAGGUUCUG
rnacentral:misc_RNA from 1 species